CAAUUUCUUAAAUCCAAAUGGGUGCACACUGGUCCAAUUAGAGGACGGACUUUGACACUGAAGCUGUCCCAGGGACACUGGGCCCUUCUGCAUGAGGGCCCCCCGCUUGUUUCAUGGGUAUUAGAUUUCCUGCUCCAAUGGCACAAGGUGAGGGCAAAGGCUGAGGCUCCGGCCCCUUCUGCCCCCCACCACACCGGCCCCCCAGGUGCUAAAAAGGGGUACUGUGAGUUAUAGCUGCAAAGAGGCGUUACUUCCCGGCUCUGAUGCCCUAAACCUCGGCUACAG